rnacentral:rRNA from 1 species
GAGAGGAAGGUGGGGAUGACGUCAAAUCAGCACGGCCCUUACGUCCGGGGCUACACACGUGUUACAAUGGUAGGUACAGAGGGCAGCUACCCAGUGAUGGGAUGCGAAUCUCGAAAGCCUAUCUCAGUUCGGAUCGGAGGCUGAAACCCGCCUCCGUGAAGUUGGAUUCGCUAGUAAUCGCGCAUCAGCCAUGGCGCGGUGAAUACGUUCCCGGGCCUUGUACACACCGCCCGUCAAGCCAUGGAAGCUGGGGGUGCCUGAAGUUCGUGACCGCAAGGAGCGACCUAGGGCAAAACCGGUGACUGGGG